GAUGAACGCUGACAGAAUGCUUAACACAUGCAAGUCAACUUGAACUUCGGUUUGGGUGGCGGACGGGCGAGUAACGCGUACAGAACUUGCCUCACAGCUAGGGACAACAUUUGGAAACGAAUGCUAAUACCUGAUAUUAUGAUUUUAGGGCAUCCUAGAAUUAUGAAAGCUAUAUGCGCUGUGAGAGAGCUUUGCGUCCCAUUAGCUAGUUGGAGAGGUAACGGCUCACCAAGGCGAUGAUGGGUAGCCGGCCUGAGAGGGUGAACGGCCACAAGGGGACUGAGACACGGCCCUUACGCCUACGGGAGGCAGCAGUGGGGAAUAUUGGACAAUGGACCAAGAGUCUGAUCCAGCAAUUCUGUGUGCACGAUGAAGUUUUUCGGAAAGAAAAGUGGUUUCAGUUGGGAAGAAAAAAAUGACGGUACCAACAGAAGAAGUGACGGCUAAAUACGUG
rnacentral:rRNA from 1 species